rnacentral:lncRNA from 1 species
AUUCAGGGGAAUCUAAGAUUUAAUUGUUUUAUUUCUGUGGGGUAAAUUCCCAGUUUUCCUUCAUCAGAGCUUUUUGAGGACAAAAUAAGAGCUCAAGGGAGAAGAGAGGGAAGUGUUGCAGUCUCUGUGUGGAUCUGUGCCUCGCUGUUUUAUUUAGGGAGCAUCACCGUGGGACUUAUUACUUGUGUGAGAGCCGUUAUUGUUGUAUCUGCUUCAUCUAAGCCACCAUGUGUCGCAUUGCCAUGUUGUUGGUGGUGUGACGGAGCAUGGUUGUGUGGAAUAACUCAGUUCCAAGUAGAGCGUGAUGGUGGAGCUUGUGUACAGUAUCAACAGGACACGUACAGCACAGACACAAAGGGGCGCACAGCAGUGCAACACCAGCUGAUAUCUUUGUCAGAUCCAGGAGAGGAUGGUCCCACACUGUCCAUAAGGAGCACUGGAUCAAGGAGAAUAAGAAUAACGUGUGGCUCGUGCCGAGAUUUGGCAUCUAUAAGUUGGCAGUAUAGUGUGCUGCCUGGCAUCAUGUCCCUGGCACAGUCCUCUACAUACUGGACAAGUAUGGCCACAGGGGAUUCCAGCAGUCACAGACAUGCUACAUUAUGGGUAUUAUUUGCUGCUUGGCCUAAGGGUACAUUCGGCUGGUUCCAUUGUGUUCCAGGGAUCAGAGUGAGCUUUUGUGUCAGAGGGAUAAGGCUCUGCUCCACUCCAAACACCCUGCCCUGUUUCUGUCCUUGUUUUUCUUUUUUUUUGUUCUUUCAGCCGUUUCUCAGAUGAAAAUGCUGCAACAUACACACACGCACACAAAUAAAUAGACGGAUAUUGCACAAGCGGAUGGAAAUGUAGACAAGGAAAAAAAAGGAUCAUAGUCGGUUGAUCCAUUUGAAACAAGGAGUGAGCUGCUCCUAGGCUCUGCAGUGCUGACAAAGAAAGAAAGCACAGAGCUAUUGCCUUUUAUAUUUUUUUUGCUCAGAAUUGCAUUUGAGAUAUGGGACAAGGAGCUUUUUCCUUAACGCUCAAAAGAUGCCUGGC